rnacentral:rRNA from 1 species
UACGUAGGUGGCAAGCGUUGUCCGGAAUUAUUGGGCGUAAAGCGCGCGCAGGCGGCUUCUUAAGUCCAUCUUAAAAGUGCGGGGCUUAACCCCGUGAUGGGAUGGAAACUGGGAAGCUGGAGUAUCGGAGAGGAAAGUGGAAUUCCUAGUGUAGCGGUGAAAUGCGUAGAGAUUAGGAAGAACACCGGUGGCGAAGGCGACUUUCUGGACGACAACUGACGCUGAGGCGCGAAAGCGUGGGGAGCAAACAGG